rnacentral:misc_RNA from 1 species
GAAAACCCUAAAACAACCCAAAUAACCAAUUCAAAUUUUUCUUUAUGAAUUGUUUGAAAGACUCAAUCUUUCCCUGGAUAUUGCUUAUUUGAUCAAUUACUAGAACAGGAAGUGAGAAAGGGAAAAUAGAAUUCAAAAUAGAGUGAGAGGUUAGGUUGAACUAGGCCUUCUUUGAUUAGAAUUUACAAGGAAUAUUGAGUUCAAUUUGCAGACAGGAAGGAGAGAAGAGACAAAGGAGUUAAUAUGAGAAGAUUUUAACAUGGAGAAUGGCAGUGUUGAGUUGAUGGCAGGAUUAUUUAUAUAUACAUUAUUUAAACAUUAGAUUUGCUCUAAGCA